AGAGGGAUUGACACCUCCGUGUACCCAACCAAUCUGACUGUGCUAAAAAAUAAAUACUUACACAGAUGGACAGAGAGAUAAAACGUAGAGGGGUCCGCGGAGGGAAAGGCAGAGACGGCUGCUCUUCAGAGGAGGAGACCGACAAGUCCGCACAGCAGAUAAUCUGCAGCUUCAGCUCGCUCAAUGAGAAGAGUUUCAUGUAGCUACAUGAUGACUCAACACACUAUUCUGCUCCUGUCACUUCCAGCAGCCAAGUCCGUAUCCUGCUCCACAUCCACCUGCAGCCCUGGGGGAAAGACUCCACACUCCAUCAAGCCCUCACAACCUCACAGCUAAACACACAUUCUCCAACUUGAAAAAGAGAUACAAUAAACAUGAGUACGUUUGUGUUUUCAAUCAGUCUGAUGUUCUGAUUAACAAAGUAUCUGCCAAGAACUUUGAUAAAUGUUCCUAAAUCGGUCUCCAUAAUAUCAUUACAUUUCAGUGAGGACAACUGCAAAAACAUGGCAAUAUAGCUAUAGGAAGGCUUAGAGCCUUGUUUGGGGGUUGUUCUGACAUUG